CAGAAGGUAGUUUAAUGACAGAAUCCUAGCUUUGGGAGUUAGGGGUGAAAGUUUAAGUCUUUCCUUUCUGA
rnacentral:tRNA from 1 species